AUUUAGUAUUUGUUUCUUAAUUUCUUAAUUUCAGUUCAGUGAUUUAUCAGAAUCCAAUUCUUCACAGCCUAGACGUAAAAAGAGAAGAUUCAGUGAUGAUCCCCAAGAUCCUCAUGAUGCCUACUGGCAAAAAAUAAGGGAAAAGGGCAAGACAAAUGUAACUGUUCAGAAGAGGUGCCUGCAGUUAAGGGCAGACACUUUGUACCAGAAACACUAUUAUGAUGUCAUAGUGUUUUUUUCAUUCCGGUGUCCCUGGUCGGGAGACUGACCGCCACAUUUUUUUAUUAUUAUGGCACUCCAGGUAGUGGCAGGCUUUUCUUAAAGGAUGCAGAAAAUGAAAAGUCCCAGAGUCAUGGAGCAACAGUGCUCAGAGCAUUGAAACGAUUUUAUUAUGAACAACCUCCAUCUGAAAGAACCACUGGUCCCUUUCCUCUUUAAUUCAAAUACUUGGCUCUUUUUGAAAAAUAUACAACGAUUACAUUACACUAGGUCUUUUAACCAAACUAAAGGAAGCAGACAACCUUUCUUGAAGAUCAAAUACAGGAAUUAUCAUUUCUGCACGACAGAGUCCUGGAACCGAGUAUGUUGCCAUAGCAACAUCAAAUUAUACACCGUCUGGUGUAUUUGUUUGGGUGUAACAAGCUUGGCAAGUUUAAAGUACCUUGUCCAAUUAUUACCAGAGAUAUUCUUAAUUUUGUGUUUUGAGCCUUAACCUUCUCACCUUGCAUCCCGAAGAAGCCAAACAAGCUAAAGAUGUAAAUAGUUUUAAAGGAAUUAUUAAAUAACAAUGCAUGCAUAUAAUUUAUCUUUUCGCAUGUAACCAUUCAUUGAUAUGUUUAAUUUUGUAGUUAU